rnacentral:rRNA from 1 species
AUGACAAGCACACAGUGUAGCGAGAGUGCUAAUCAUAUGUUGAAACAGUAUGUACAGAGGUCAUCCCCCAUGCACGUGUUUGUUCGUCAAUACAACAAAUUCCUUGGUUCAAGGAAGAGCGAUGAGGCAAGGGAAUUCCACCUAAAUGCAACAAAGAGGAAGUGGCGAGAUGUCAAGAUCGAUGACGACCGGCAGUUCAUAAACUGCGAUUGUGGGAUGUUCGAUCAUGUCGGUAUGUUGUGCAGACAUGCAUUGAAGGUAUAA